GCUGGACCUCCUGGCCCAGCUGGACCGGACCGGGAUCCUCCAGAACAGGGUCAGAUGGGAACGCUGGAGAGAAACCAGUAAGAGGAAUUCAACAUCCAGCUGCUCGUUUAUUUAAACUAAACCGGACCCCACAGCGGUUGUGCUUUAAAAGCCAACAGUAGGAGAUGUUAACGGCCUGCGUCAGGAAACGCUGCUGUUCUCUCUGGGAGCAAAUCAACAAUGUAAAACUUUCCGACCUUCGACCUUCAGCCUGAACGCGUCCCAGCAGGCUGAGCUGCAGCAGCGUGUCAGAAUGAAACUCACUCCUGCAGAUUGAUGCUGGAAUUAUUUCCUCUCAGCUUUUUACAGUUUGUGCCAGAGAAAAAAAGAAAGUAAUUUCUGAUUUAUGA